rnacentral:rRNA from 1 species
AUUGAACGCUGGCGGCAUGCUUUACACAUGCAAGUCGAACGGCAGCGCGGGCUUCGGCCUGGCGGCGAGUGGCGAACGGGUGAGUAAUACAUCGGAACGUGCCCAGUAGUGGGGGAUAGCUCGGCGAAAGCCGGAUUAAUACCGCAUACGACCUGAGGGUGAAAGCGGGGGAACUUCGGACCUCGCGCUAUUGGAGCGGCCGAUGGCAGAUUAGCUAGUUGGUGGGGUAAAGGCCUACCAAGGCGACGAUCUGUAGCUGGUCUGAGAGGACGACCAGCCACACUGGGACUGAGACACGGCCCAGACUCCUACGGGAGGCAGCAGUGGGGAAUUUUGGACAAUGGGCGAAAGCCUGAUCCAGCAAUGCCGCGUGUGUGAUGAAGGCCUUCGGGUUGUAAAGCACUUUUGGCGGGAACGAAAAGGACUGUGCCAAUACCACGGUUCGAUGACGGUACCCGCAGAAUAAGCACCGGCUAACUACGUG